rnacentral:rRNA from 1 species
UACGGAGGGUGCAAGCGUUAAUCGGAAUUACUGGGCGUAAAGCGCGCGUAGGUGGUUCAGUAAGUUGGAAGUGAAAUCCCCGGGCUCAACCUGGGAACUGCUUUCAAAACUGCUGAGCUAGAGUACGGUAGAGGGUGGUGGAAUUUCCUGUGUAGCGGUGAAAUGCGUAGAUAUAGGAAGGAACACCAGUGGCGAAGGCGACCACCUGGACUGAUACUGACACUGAGGUGCGAAAGCGUGGGGAGCGAACAGG